CAGGACGAACGCUGGCGGCGUGCUUAACACAUGCAAGUCGAGCGAUGAAGCUUCUUCGGAAGUGGAUUAGCGGCGGACGGGUGAGUAACACGUGGGUAACCUGCCUCAUAGAGGGGAAUAGCCUUUCGAAAGGAAGAUUAAUACCGCAUAAGAUUGUAGUACCGCAUGGUACAGCAAUUAAAGGAGUAAUCCGCUAUGAGAUGGACCCGCGUCGCAUUAGCUAGUUGGUGAGGUAACGGCUCACCAAGGCGACGAUGCGUAGCCGACCUGAGAGGGUGAUCGGCCACAUUGGGACUGAGACACGGCCCAGACUCCUACGGGAGGCAGCAGUGGGGAAUAUUGCACAAUGGGGGAAACCCUGAUGCAGCAACGCCGCGUGAGUGAUGACGGCCUUCGGGUUGUAAAACUCUGUCUUUGGGGACGAUAAUGACGGUACCCAAGGAGGAAGCCACGGCUAACUACGUGCCAGCAGCCGCGGUAAUACGUAGGUGGCAAGCGUUGUCCGGAUUUACUG
rnacentral:rRNA from 1 species